ensembl:lncRNA
GGCUUGCAAGGCUCAUACAUUUAUUAGCACUUUAUGCAGUAGCUUUCCUUCAAAGGCUUCUGUGGCAGUGCUAGCAACAAAUUCAUAAAAGCUUAAUUUUUAUACAAAUAGUUUUAUUACAAAUUUGAAUUUUUAAGAAAUACACAUGUAAAGAUAUGACAGAAAAGGCUUAGUAGUCUUGAGAAAGUUUUGGAGACUUUUGGUGAAAUGUCAUUUCAAGCAUAGUGGUCCGAAUCUGCCCUCCUGUGACCCUCGCUCCCUGCGGAGUCUGCGAGGCCCAGGCACGGCCAGAAGUGGCCUGCACACGCCUGAGCAGAAAUACUGACAGCACGCUCCAUGGCUCUUCCCGCACGGCUGCGAGGGAGGGUGCUACUGCACGGAAGGCCUUGCUGCUGCUGCUUUUGAAGUCAAGUCGUUCAGUUUGUGGUUAGUGUUUAAAACCCUGAAAGGAUUCAAUAGAGUCGAAACAAUCAGCUCAAAGUACGUGUGUCCCAUCCUCCAGAGGCACCACGCGCACCAACCUGCGUUUGCUUUGGCACCACGUGAUUUGGGGUUUGGAAGUGAACGCAGAAAGCUGGUGUUUCACAUUUGGUGUCGGAGUGUUCAAAAAUCUGUGUUAAAGGGCAGCACAGUCUUUGCCAGAAGAGAGCUAGGUAAGCUUUAUUUCAACAGUGGAAGUUACACUAGGAUUUGACCUGCCUAAUUGCUGACAUCUAUAUAAAUUACUAAAAUAUAUAUAUAUUUAAUUUCUCACUACUUUUGGACCAUCUUUAUUCCACAGGAAAGCUGGCGCCUCUGCCAACGGAGCUUCGUAGUACCACACAGAGCGGAGACACAAAUCUAUGUCUGAGGGCUGGAGGGGGAGUGGUUUACUGAGUCCGUCAUUGCAUUUGGAGGUCUGCAGAGACCGCUUUUACUUCACUACCAUUUGCACAGACCGAGGGACCUGGACUGGGAAAUACUAGACGGUGCUCUAGAGACAUUCAUAUCGGGGCAGAAAACUCAUCUAUUACAAUACAAGGCUGAGCACGGGCAGGCGGGCGGGUGGGCGGGCACCGCGCCCCUAGCACCUUGGAGCUCCAACCUUGCACCUCAGUGCAGGACCGGAGCAGGACAGGUAUUUUAUUCAUCACAAGUGCCAUCUGGAUGCCACUAUGGAAACCUCAUCGUUGUCUCUCUUCUCCCUCAGCAAGCAGAGACCAGUGAAGCAGGGCGUGUUAGUUACGCACAUUCCUAUAAGGCACUUUACGGUUUCAUACUGGACAGUGAGGUACACAGGAUAUACUUCUAGGGUUCGUUGCUGUUAAAAAUAAAAGAGGAGGAGGCAGCGGAGCAGAGGAGGAGGAGUAGCACCAUGUUGUGACGGCAGCUGGGUCGGCCUCGUUAUGUUCUUCGCAUGCACACUUGGCAGCGGCUGACGUGGGUGCGAAGCUCUCCGGCCUUCAAGGUGGAGGGUGUGGGCUUCCUGCAAGGACACAGGGCUCAGCGCUGGCCUCGGCCCUGCCAUCAGACCCGGCCCCUUCCGCAGCCCCAGGACCCGGACCCCAGCCC